ensembl:snRNA U4 U4 spliceosomal RNA
AGCUUUGCGCAGUGGCAGUAUUGUAGCCAAUGAGGUUUGUCCAAGGCGCGAUUACUGCUAAUUGAAAACUUUUCCCAAUACCCUGCCAAGACGACUUGAAAUAUAGUCGGCAUUGACAAUUUUUGAGUCUCUACGGAAA